rnacentral:rRNA from 1 species
UUGGGCAAUGCCCGCAAGGGUGACCCAGCAACGCCGCGUGGAGGAUGAAUGUCGUAAGAUUGUAAACUCCUGUUCGAGGGGAAGAAUAGUAACGGUUGGACCGGUAUAUGACUGUACCCUCAGAGAAAGCCCCGGCUAACUACGUGCCAGCAGCCGCGGUAAUACGUAGGAGGCGAGCGUUAUCCGGAUUUACUGGGCGUAAAGCGCGUGCAGGCGGAUUGGAGAGUUGGAUGUGAAAGCUCCCGGCUUAACUGGGAGAGGUCGUUCAAUACUUCCAGUCCUGAGUGCAGUAGAGGGAAGUGGAAUUCCGGGUGUAGUGGUGAAAUGCGUAGAUAUCCGGAGGAACACCAGUGGCGAAAGCGGCUUCCUGGACUGUAACUGACGCUCAGACGCGAAAGCUAGGGUAGCAAACG